CGCCAGCAUGCGCGCAAGGCGAUCCCUCUCUCCCUUUUCUCUCUCUUUCCACGCUACGGCAGCGACAUUUUGCCGCUCUACCGCUCUUUCCUUUUCGGCCCCACUCCUGUGUGACGCAUGCAUCAUCGGUGGCCAUCACGACGUGCCGCAUCGCCCCCCCUCGCUCUCUUUGAAAGGCUGUUUCUCUGGCGCUCCGGGCUGGGGGCCUCGUCGCGACAGUAUUCGGCGACCCAACACGUUUUCCCCUCUUUGUUUUCUGUCUUGCAGCGCACAUAUCGGCAUGUAGCUCAUGCCCAGCCUCAUGUGUCUGUCUUUCCCCUGCAGAGGUCUUGUGUGCACGUGUGCCAAUGCGUGUGUGUUUGGAUCGCUCUCGAUCGUGCCGUGCAUGCUGUUGUGUAGUCGAUGAGACAAGAGCUGCCAUGCACACCACAGAGAGACAUGCCCGCACACGCAUCUGGCUCAGAUAAGCUUUCUAAUGAUGUGGAGGAGGAAGAGGUAAGCGGAGCGGAGGCGGUGCUUGUGGCAUCGCUCAUUCGCGUAUUCACCAUCUGAGUGCGCGCGGUUGUCUGCUUGUGCGUGUCUCUGUCUGUGUGCCACUCGCUCCGGUGUACCGCUCGAUCUUCCCCUCCUCUCUCUCUCCCGCGUUCUCGGUCUUGGCGAUUGCUGCAACGCAUACCUUUUCCCUUCCGCCUCCCUCGAUAGAGCGGGCGGAGAAAGAAGCGGCAACGAACAGAAAGGACUGUCGAUGUUUCAUGCGCCAUUUUUUUUGUUUGUGCGCUUCCACCACCACCACCUGCUCCUCCGCCGCACGCGCUCACGCUCUCCCUCGCUUUGGCCCCAUCUCUCCCGUGAUUCACUGGGGUGGCGGUGCUGCGUUCAGACAGAGCCGUCCACCCACCCACAGUUGUGCGCCCUUCCAUCCAUUGUAGGGGUGGGCACGCCUCCGUGCGUUCGUGCAUGUUUCUCUCAACGAACAUGCGGAAGAGGGCUGAUGAAGUGUCACGAGAGAGAGGGCGAGCGAGCGAGCGAAGAUGAGGUGGAUGAUGCUGGACGAAGGAGAAAAGAGAAGAGAGCCGCCGCCAGCACACCGAAUGGGCUUGCGUUUUGUAUGCCACGACGACUGCCGUUGGUUUUCGCUGCUGCUCCUGAUGUCCCUCCCCCCAAAACACACACCGACUCGCUUUCUGUCUCUUGCUGUACCAGCAACUUGACGUCGCUCCUCUCUCCCUCUAUCGCCACUAUUGGCUACCUUUUUUCUUUGUUCGGCUUGCGUUCCCGGUGGUUGAAGCCGACAGUGUGGCCUUCACUCCCUCACGCGCGCGCGCACACACACACACGCAGCUCUCUCGCACUUUUACUUUCCUUUUGCCUUCG
rnacentral:misc_RNA from 1 species